CAUCCUCCAAGGCUAAAUACUCCUGACUGACCGAUAGUGAACCAGUACCGUGAGGGAAAGGCGAAAAGAACCCCGGCGAGGGGAGUGAAAAAGAACCUGAAACCGUGUACGUACAAGCAGUGGGAGCACAGGUUUACCUGUGUGACUGCGUACCUUUUGUAUAAUGGGUCAGCGACUUAUAUUCUGUAGCAAGGUUAACCGUAUAGGGGAGCCG
rnacentral:rRNA from 1 species